rnacentral:rRNA from 1 species
CCCCGGCGCCACAAGUGGCAAUCACGAUUAUUGGGUCUAAAGCGUCCGUAGCCGGCUUUUUAAGUUUCUUGUGAAAUUGUUGUGCUUAACAUAACAACGCGCAAGAAAUACUGUUAAGCUAGGGACCGGGAGGAGUUAGAAGUACUCUUAGGGGAGCGGUUAAAUGUGAUAAUCCUUGGAGGACUGCCAGUGGCGAAGGCGUCUAACUAGAACGGGUCCGACGGUGAGGGACGAAAGCUAGGGGAUCAAGCCGG